rnacentral:rRNA from 1 species
UACGUAGGGGGCAAGCGUUGUCCGGAAUCAUUGGGCGUAAAGCGCGUGUAGGCGGCCCGGUAAGUCCGCUGUGAAAGUCGGGGGCUCAACCCUCGAAUGCCGGUGGAUACUGUCGGGCUAGAGUGCGGAAGAGGCGAGUGGAAUUCCUGGUGUAGCGGUGAAAUGACGCAGAUAUCAGGAGGAACACCAAUGGCGAAGGCAGCUCGCUGGGACGUAACUGACGCUGAGAACGAGAAGCUGGGGAGCAAACAGG